UACGGAGGGUGCGAGCGUUGUCCGGAAUCACUGGGCGUAAAGGGCGCGUAGGCGGCGCGGAUAGUCGGCGGUGAAAGCCCGGAGCUCAACUCCGGGUCGGCCGUCGAUACUUCCGGGCUUGAGCACUGUAGAGGCAGAUGGAAUUCCGGGUGUAGCGGUGGAAUGCGUAGAGAUCCGGAAGAACACCGGUGGCGAAGGCGGUCUGCUGGGCAGUUGCUGACGCUGGAUGCGCGACAGCGUGGGGAGCAAACGAGGGAUUACAGAAGUACCCGGUUAGGAUCC
rnacentral:rRNA from 1 species